rnacentral:rRNA from 1 species
AUUGAACGCUGGCGGCAGGCCUAACACAUGCAAGUCGAACGGUAACAGGAAGCAGUUUCCUGCUUUACUUUCGAGUGGCGGGCGUGUGAGACAUGUCUGUGAAACUCCUCUAUGGAUGGGGAUAACUAGUGGAAACGGUACCUAUAACCGCAUAACUUUUCAAGACCAUGGAUGAGUAGUGUAGGGCCGCUUUCCAUUGGCUGUGCCCAGAUGGGAUUAGCUAGUAGGUGGGGUAACGGCUCACCGAGGCGACGAUCCCUAGCUGGUCUGAGAGGAUGAACAGCCACACUGGAACUGAGACACGGUCCAGACUCCUACGGGAGGCAGCAGUAGGGAAUCUUGCGCAAUGGGCGCAAGCCUGACGGAGCAACGCCGCGUGUGUGAAGAAGGCCUUCGGGUUGUAAAGUACUUUCAGCGGGGAGGAAGAGAGUUAUAUGAAAACAUGCACGCAUUGACGGUACCCGAUGAGGAAGCCCCGGCUAACUACGUG